rnacentral:rRNA from 1 species
GGUUAAGCGACUAAGCGUACACGGUGGAUGCCCUGGCAGUCAGAGGCGAUGAAGGGCGUGCUAAUCUGCGAUAAGCGCCGGUAAGGUGAUAUGAACCGUUAUAACCGGCGAUACCCGAAUGGGGAAACCCAGUGUGAUUCGUCACACUAUCAUUAACUGAAUCCAUAGGUUAAUGAGGCGAACCGGGGGAACUGAAACAUCUAAGUACCCCGAGGAAAAGAAAUCAACCGAGAUUCCCCCAGUAGCGGCGAGCGAACGGGGAGGAGCCCAGAGCCUGAAUCAGCAUGUGUGUUAGUGGAAGCGUCUGGAAAGGCGCGCGAUACAGGGUGACAGCCCCGUACACAAAAGCGCAUGUGCUGUGAGCUCGAUGAGUAGGGCGGGACACGUGGUAUCCUGUCUGAAUAUGGGGGGACCAUCCUCCAAGGCUAAAUACUCCUGACUGACCGAUAGUGAACCAGUACCGUGAGGGAAAGGCGAAAAGAACCCCGGCGAGGGGAGUGAAAAAGAACCUGAAACCGUGUACGUACAAGCAGUGGGAGCACCCUUUGGGGUGUGACUGCGUACCUUUUGUAUAAUGGGUCAGCGACUUAUAUUCUGUAGCAAGGUUAACCGAAUAGGGGAGCCGGAGGGAAACCGAGUCUUAAUUGGGCGUUAAGUUGCAGGGUAUAGACCCGAAACCCGGUGAUCUAGCCAUGGGCAGGUUGAAGGUUGGGUAACACUAACUGGAGGACCGAACCGACUAAUGUUGAAAAAUUAGCGGAUGACCUGUGGCUGGGGGUGAAAGGCCAAUCAAACCGGGAGAUAGCUGGUUCUCCCCGAAAGCUAUUUAGGUAGCGCCUCGUGAAUUCAUCUCCGGGGGUAGAGCACUGUUUCGGCUAGGGGGCCAUCCCGGCUUACCAACCCGAUGCAAACUGCGAAUACCGGAGAAUGUUAUCACGGGAGACACACGGCGGGUGCUAACGUCCGUCGUGAAGAGGGAAACAACCCAGACCGCCAGCUAAGGUCCCAAAGUCAUGGUUAAGUGGGAAACGAUGUGGGAAGGCCCAGACAGCCAGGAUGUUGGCUUAGAAGCAGCCAUCAUUUAAAGAAAGCGUAAUAGCUCACUGGUCGAGUCGGCCUGCGCGGAAGAUGUAACGGGGCUAAACCAUGCACCGAAGCUGCGGCAGCGAACGUAUCACCCAAGACAACUUUACGGAGUUGACGAUUGACGGAGCGAAGCGACGUCAAAGCGUUCAUUAAAGUCGAGUUGGCUUAGGGAUACGUUCGUUGGGUAGGGGAGCGUUCUGUAAGCCUGUGAAGGUGUGUCGUGAGGCAUGCUGGAGGUAUCAGAAGUGCGAAUGCUGACAUAAGUAACGAUAAAGCGGGUGAAAAGCCCGCUCGCCGGAAGACCAAGGGUUCCUGUCCAACGUUAAUCGGGGCAGGGUGAGUCGACCCCUAAGGCGAGGCCGAAAGGCGUAGUCGAUGGGAAACGGGUUAAUAUUCCCGUACUUGGUGUUACUGCGAAGGGGGGACGGAGAAGGCUAUGUUGGCCGGGCGACGGUUGUCCCGGUUUAAGCGUGUAGGUGUGUGUUCCAGGUAAAUCCGGUUCACUUUAACACUGAGGCGUGACGACGAGGCACUACGGUGCUGAAGCAACAAAUGCCCUGCUUCCAGGAAAAGCCUCUAAGCAUCAGGUAACAUCAAAUCGUACCCCAAACCGACACAGGUGGUCAGGUAGAGAAUACCAAGGCGCUUGAGAGAACUCGGGUGAAGGAACUAGGCAAAAUGGUGCCGUAACUUCGGGAGAAGGCACGCUGACACGUAGGUGAAGUGAUUUACUCAUGGAGCUGAAGUCAGUCGAAGAUACCAGCUGGCUGCAACUGUUUAUUAAAAACACAGCACUGUGCAAACACGAAAGUGGACGUAUACGGUGUGACGCCUGCCCGGUGCCGGAAGGUUAAUUGAUGGGGUCAGCGCAAGCGAAGCUCCUGAUCGAAGCCCCGGUAAACGGCGGCCGUAACUAUAACGGUCCUAAGGUAGCGAAAUUCCUUGUCGGGUAAGUUCCGACCUGCACGAAUGGCGUAAUGAUGGCCAGGCUGUCUCCACCCGAGACUCAGUGAAAUUGAACUCGCUGUGAAGAUGCAGUGUACCCGCGGCAAGACGGAAAGACCCCGUGAACCUUUACUAUAGCUUGACACUGAACAUUGAGCCUUGAUGUGUAGGAUAGGUGGGAGGCUUUGAAGUGUGGACGCCAGUCUGCAUGGAGCCGACCUUGAAAUACCACCCUUUAAUGUUUGAUGUUCUAACGUGGACCCGUAAUCCGGGUUGCGGACAGUGUCUGGUGGGUAGUUUGACUGGGGCGGUCUCCUCCUAAAGAGUAACGGAGGAGCACGAAGGUUGGCUAAUCCUGGUCGGACAUCAGGAGGUUAGUGCAAUGGCAUAAGCCAGCUUGACUGCGAGCGUGACGGCGCGAGCAGGUGCGAAAGCAGGUCAUAGUGAUCCGGUGGUUCUGAAUGGAAGGGCCAUCGCUCAACGGAUAAAAGGUACUCCGGGGAUAACAGGCUGAUACCGCCCAAGAGUUCAUAUCGACGGCGGUGUUUGGCACCUCGAUGUCGGCUCAUCACAUCCUGGGGCUGAAGUAGGUCCCAAGGGUAUGGCUGUUCGCCAUUUAAAGUGGUACGCGAGCUGGGUUUAGAACGUCGUGAGACAGUUCGGUCCCUAUCUGCCGUGGGCGCUGGAGAACUGAGGGGGGCUGCUCCUAGUACGAGAGGACCGGAGUGGACGCAUCACUGGUGUUCGGGUUGUCAUGCCAAUGGCACUGCCCGGUAGCUAAAUGCGGAAGAGAUAAGUGCUGAAAGCAUCUAAGCACGAAACUUGCCCCGAGAUGAGUUCUCCCUGAGACUUUAGGUCUCCUGAAGGAACGUUGAAGACGACGACGUUGAUAGGCCGGGUGUGUAAGCGCAGCGAUGCGUUGAGCUAACCGGUACUAAUGAACCGUGAGGCUUAACCUU